GUGAUUAAAUCGAGCGUGUCUUCAUUGACCGCUCACCCUUCUCACCACCCACAUACACCUGUGCACUGUUUAGCCUGAGCCGGUUUUCCGGUCCAGGUUAUCAUUUCAUACAAACUCUAGCCUUAUGAAUGUAAACGUUUUAAUAACAUAAU
rnacentral:misc_RNA from 1 species